UGUUUAAGUAUCGCACUUUGUCGUUCGUUGUGAGAAUUUGAUCUCGUGAGUUAUCGUAAUUGUUGUAUUAAGUUACCUACCUAGUUCGUAUGCACUAGGUUACAAGGCUAGAUCAAUAGGCUAAGCUCUGCCUGUAUAAAUCUGCAAUAUAUCAAGGCUUAUCUGUAGACUAAACUUUGGCCGUAUGAAUCUGCAUGAUUAUAAUGUAAUUACAGUACGUUGGAAUAAGAAUUGGAUCCGGCACCGAAGGCAUCAAGAAGUGGCUUAUUUUAUUAAUUAAAUCAAAUUAAGAAAUAUUGUUUUUAUUAAAAGCUACCUUUGUAAAACAUGGAAUUUAUUCCAUCUAUU
rnacentral:lncRNA from 1 species